rnacentral:rRNA from 1 species
UCGAACGAGAAAGGUAGCUUCGGUUACCAAGUAAAGUGGCAAACGGCUGAGUAACACGUAAGUAAUCUGCCCCGGAGCGGGGGACAAUCACGAGAAAUCGUGCCUAAUACCCCGUACGUCCCAGCGAGCACGCUUGCUGGGGGAAAGACUUCGGUCGCUCUGGGAGGAGCUUGCGGCCUAUCAGGUUGUUGGUGGGGUAAUGGCCUACCAAGCCUAAGACGGGUACCCGGUGUGAGAGCACGAACGGGCAGAGGGGGACUGAGACACGGCCCCCACUCCUACGGGAGGCAGCAGCGGGGAAUAUUGCGCAAUGGGCGAAAGCCUGACGCAGCGACACCGCGUGGAGGAUGACGGCUUUCGAGUUUGUAAACUCCUUUUCUCAGGGAAGAGAACGGACGGUACCUGAGGAAUAAGCAUCGGCUAACUACGUGCCAGCAGCCGCGGUAAUACGUAGGAUGCGAGCGUUGUCCGGAUUUACUGGGCGUAAAGGACGAGUAGGCGGCCCACCAAGUCUCAUGUGAAAUCUCCUGGCUUAACUGGGAGCGGUCAUGGGAAACUGGUAGGCUUGAGGUCAGCAGAGGAAAGCGGAAUUCCCGGAGUAGCGGUGGAAUGCGUAGAUACCGGGAGGAACACCAGAGGCGAAGGCGGCUUUCUGGGCUGCACCUGACGCUGAGGCGUGAAAGCAUGGGGAGCGAACCGGAUUAGAUACCCGGGUAGUCCAUGCCCUAAACGAUGGAUACUAGAUAUGGGGGUAUCGACCCCC